rnacentral:rRNA from 1 species
GGAAUAUUGCACAAUGGGCGGAAGCCUGAUGCAGCGACGCCGCGUGAGGGAUGACGGCCUUCGGGUUGUAAACCUCUUUCAGCAGGGACGAAGCGCAAGUGACGGUACCUGCCGAAGAAGCGCCGGCCUACUACGUGCCAGCAGCCGCGGUAAGACGUAGGGCGCGAGCGUUGUACGGAUUUAGUGGGCGUAAAGAGCUCGUAGGCGGCUUGUCGCGUCGACUGUGAAAACUCGGAGCUCAACUCCGAGCUUGCAUUCGAUACGGGCAGGCUAGAGUUCGGUAGGGGAGACUGGAAUUCCUGGUGUAGCGGUGAAAUGCGCAGAUAUCAGGAGGAACACCGAUGGCGAAGGCAGGUCUCUGGGCCGAUACUGACGCUGAGGAGCGAAAGCGUGGGGAGCGAAC